rnacentral:rRNA from 1 species
GACGAACGCUGGCGGCGUGCUUAGCACAUGCAAGUCGAACGGUGAAGCCCUUCGGGGUGGAUCAGUGGCGAACGGGUGAGUAACACGUGAGCAACCUGCCCCUGGCUCUGGGACAACCACUGGAAACGGUGGCUAAUACCGGAUACGACCCGCCUCGGCAUCGAGUGUGGGUGGAAAGUUUUUCGGCUGGGGAUGGGCUCGCGGCCUAUCAGCUUGUUGGUGAGGUGAAGGCUCACCAAGGCGACGACGGGUAGCCGGCCUGAGAGGGCGACCGGCCACACUGGGACUGAGACACGGCCCAGACUCCUACGGGAGGCAGCAGUGGGGAAUAUUGCACAAUGGGCGAAAGCCUGAUGCAGCGACGCCGCGUGAGGGAUGACGGCCUUCGGGUUGUAAACCUCUUUCAGCUCCGAAGAAGCGAAAGUGACGGUAGGAGCAGAAGAAGCACCGGCUAACUACGUG